AACGAACGCUGGCGGCGCGCCUAAUACAUGCAAGUCGAGCGAGAAGACGUAGCAAUACGUUUGUAAAGCGGCGAACGGGUGAGGAAUACAUGGGUAACCUACCCUCGAGUGGGGAAUAACUAGCCGAAAGGUUAGCUAAUACCGCGUACGCUCCUUGGACUUCGGUUCAGGGAGGAAAGCGAUACCGUGGGUAUCGCGCUCUUGGAUGGGCUCAUGUCCUAUCAGCUUGUUGGUGAGGAACGGCUCACCAAGGCUUCGACGGGUAGCUGGUCUGAGAGGACGAUCAGCCACACUGGCACUGCGACACGGGCCAGACUCCUACGGGAGGCAGCAGUAAGGAAUAUUGCUCAAUGGCCGAAAGGCUGAAGCAGCAACGCCGCGUGGAGGAUGAAAUAC
rnacentral:rRNA from 1 species